rnacentral:tRNA from 1 species
GUUUGUGGCUUAGCGGUAGAGCACUUGCCUAGCAUGUGUGGGGCCCUGGGUUCAAUCCUCAGCACUACA